rnacentral:rRNA from 1 species
CCUACGGGGUGCAGCAGUGGGGAAUAUUGCACAAUGGGCGCAAGCCUGAUGCAGCCAUGCCGCGUGUAUGAAGAAGGCCUUCGGGUUGUAAAGUACUUUCAGCGAGGAGGAAGGCAUUAAGGUUAAUAACCUUGGUGAUUGACGUUACUCGCAGAAGAAGCACCGGCUAACUCCGUGCCAGCAGCCGCGGUAAUACGGAGGGUGCAAGCGUUAAUCGGAAUUACUGGGCGUAAAGCGCACGCAGGCGGUCUGUCAAGUCGGAUGUGAAAUCCCCGGGCUCAACCUGGGAACUGCAUUCGAAACUGGCAGGCUAGAGUCUUGUAGAGGGGGGUAGAAUUCCAGGUGUAGCGGUGAAAUGCGUAGAGAUCUGGAGGAAUACCGGUGGCGAAGGCGGCUUACUGGUCUGCAACUGACGCUGAGGCGCGAAAGCGUGGGGAGCAAACAGGAUUAGAUACCCGAGUAGUC